rnacentral:tRNA from 1 species
AGGCCCUUAGUUAAAUGGUAUAACGGAGGUCUCCAAAACCUUUGUCAGGCGUUCGAUUCGCCUAGGGCCUG